rnacentral:tRNA from 1 species
GAGAUCAAAACUCUUAGUGCUUCCAACUACACCACUUCCUA